ensembl:lncRNA
AAAAGGAAAUUUUAAAUGCAAAGAGAUGAUCUUUUGCAUUCUAUAUUUAAAAGUUUCCCUAUAUAACUCCAUGAAUUAUAUAUAAAAGCAUGGUUAGAACUUAUAAGAUGGUUAGAUUUUGAAUGACUCCCUGUUCAUGCACAUAGAUUCAGAAGCCCACAUAUGUCAGGUCACAUGAUUUCUAUCACACCAUGGCUGUGCCAGUUUCAUCUGCAAGCUAAAGCAGGAAAAACAGCAGGCUUGAGAAGGGAAAAGGGCAAAAGGCUCAGGAAAACAUAUGACCUCCCCCCAACAAGUGACCGUUUGCAUUCUACAUAUUCAUUUCCAGGCUCAUACUCAUGAAUGACACUUCCCAUUUAGUUUUCUCACUUGCAACAAAACAAAAUAUACUGAAAUCAUUAAAAACAAGGACUGAUCUGUAAAAGCAGCUUGAUCGCUUGGAAAUUAUCAAAGUGCAAGAAAUGACAUGCAUUUUUAAAAAAAGUUUAAAUUAUGAUCACAAAUUGCAAACAGACUUUUCUUUUGGUUUUUCACAAAAGACACAGAAAGGGAGGAGAAUGGUUUGAGUUCUAUAAAGAAAAUUUUCUUCCAAAUAAAAUAAUUUGUAAAUUAGAAGAUAUGACUUAGAUUUAGAAUCAAACCCCUACUUUCUUUAUGGCAUUGAGCAAAUUUUUUCCUUGUAUUGGCACCAUAACCAAUGUUAAUUAAAAUCAGGUUUUGUGUUUGGAAGGGGGCCUCCCAAGAGAUCAUUUAGUCAGACACUACUUAUAUUCAUUAAAGACUGAACUAAAAUCAGAGACAGAUGGCUUUGUAUCAGUUUUCAGAACAGAGAUUUCACAACUUUCCUUGGUAAUCUAUACAACUCUUUAAUCACCAUCUCACUUAUUCUUCAGUUAUAAUCUCUGUUAACACUACCAAGUCUCUUUCUUUCUAGUGUUUCAUUGGAUGAAAAUGGAAUCACCACACACAUCCCUAUAUGGGAUUUACCAGGGGAAAAUAGGAUGUGGUCAAGAACAAAGAAAUUAUUAAGUUUUGAAAUAAAAAAGAAUAACAUUAAGUAUGGGGAAAAGUUGGAGUAGAUGGAUGAAAAUAUAGUUAUAAAGUUAAUAACAGAGAAGAUCAAAUUCACCUGAUCACUUCAAUCUUUUGAGUAAAGUCCUGUGCUGGUAUUGUUAAAAAAAAGUUAGAAGAAAAGAGUUUGGAUUGGAAAAUUCAGGAAAGAAUAAGGCCAUUUAAAUUAUCACUUAUAAGAAACAGAUUUUGUUGGUUAUUUACAAAAAUAGGUAUUAUGACAAUAAAAAUACAGAAAUUGUAGAGACAUGUUUUAAAAACAUAAAUUUAGGUAAUAAUUCAGGCAUAUUCACCAUUAGAUUAGCAAUUCUUCUUACCCUUGAAUAAAAGAGGAUAUGAAGUCUUUGUGUGAGAUGAAUUUAGGCUUAAAAUUAGGAAAAUUCUCCUAUCCGAAUUCUCUAGAAAUAUAGCAUAAUGGAACAUUAUAAUAACAAACAUUUUUUUCAAAAUUAGUCAACAAAAGCCAGUUAAAAUCUUACUAAGGCCAAGCAUUAUUCUAAAUGUUUUACAUGGACACUGUAUUAUUCAAUCUUCAAAUAACCUAUGGGGUAAGAAUAAUUAUUAACCCUAUUUAACACAGGUUUAUAACUUGCCCCAGGACGGAUGAAUAACUAUAAAGCCAGAAUUUGGACUAGGGAAACCUAAUGCCUGAAUCCAAAUUUUUAAAUUUUUAAAAAUUUUUUAAUUUUUUUGCUUUUUAGGGCCUCACUCACGGCAUAUGGAGUUUCCCAGGCUAGGGGUCUAAUCAGAGCUACAGCCGCUGGCCUACGCCACAGCCAUAGCAACUCGGCAUCCGAGCAGAAUCUGCGACCUACACCACAGUUCAAAGCAACUUCAGAUCCUUAACCUACUGAGCUAAGCCAAGGAUCAAAACCACAUCUUCAUGGAUACUAGCUGGGUUUGUUAAUCAGUGAGCCACGAAGGAAACUCCUGAAACAUGGAAUUUUUGUUCAAAGGAAACUUGAGUUAGAACCUCACCAAAGAGGCCAAUAAUGAAAACAAACAAAAAAAAAAGCCACCAAUAUUUAAAAAUUCAACAAAAGAUAGUUUGUCACCAUGAGAUAAAGUGGAAGAGCAUGUUAAAAUAGUGCUAGUCAUUAUUAGAGAGGGACAUAAAAGGCACCUACAUAGAAAAGUACAAUAUCCAGAACUUGGUAUAUUGUGAAUCAUAGUCUGUAUAUUUUUAUCAUUUCCAAACAGGAUAGACAUCUGGAUAAAACACUAGUUGGCUUUAAGACUCUGAAUUGCAACUUUUUUUCAUUUGCAAUACUUUUCAUUAAUUAUCUCUUAACAAAUAUAGAGGCCAUUCCAUUUGAGAGAUAACCAAAGUGCUCAAAACCCACUUUUCAUUGUACAGAUUAAGCAAUACCCAGAGAAAAAGACAUAGUGAUAUUAAAUAACUACUUACUACAAAUCAACACUUUAGUAAGACUAAGAGAUUAUCCCUUUUCUCUUUUUCAAACAACGAAAAUACAUUCGACAUCAUACACACUGAUGCAGAGUGAUAAAGUGAUGAGCUGCUUGGGCCAGGAGCAUGAGGAGGUAAAAGAACCACACUGAUACUCUCUGUUAGAGACAGUUUGCAGAGAAAAAAAAUACACAUGAGGCAUUACCCAAAUCACUC